rnacentral:misc_RNA from 1 species
ACGGCAGCUGUAAACUGAGGGAGAGGAGGGGAGAGAUAUGGUUUCGCUGAAGCUCCAAAAGCGGCUCGCCGCCAGCGUGCUCAAGUGCGGGAAGGGAAAGGUGUGGCUCGAUCCCAAUGAAGUCAAUGAAAUCUCAAUGGCCAACUCCCGUAAGUUCGCUCCUCUCUAUUUCGUGUUCGUAUCAUUUUUCUCGCUGAUGGAAUUCAGAUUGAUUUAUUCGAUUUUGUUUAUGUUUUAUUGCCAGAAGUAACAUAGGUUUCGUGUCCAUUUAAGAUAGCAAUAGAUAUCGUUAUAAUACAAAGUGUUUGUAUUUGUGCUAUUAGUGUGGUUUGGUGUCUGUUUUGGUUGAUUCUUGUUGUUGGAUUUUUAUUGUUGGAUAAGGAGCUUCAUGUUUGAGGAAUAUAUCGGAACUGGUAAUUGAACUCUGGCGGAUUCCAAGCUUCAUGUAUUUCCCAGAUGCUAGAAAUCUUCCACAACCUCGCUGUCAAUUUCCUCAUCUUCCUAUCCCUACGCCUGUCUCGAACCUUGCUGUUAUUUGGUGACCUUCCACCUUAUAUUAUUUGGACAUUUUAGGUGUUUGUGUAUUCUUUUAGUAGAAACAAGCAUUUUGAUGUUUUUCUCACCGUUCAAUGUGGAUUCAAUAUCGAAAAUUGCUCUAGAAGUUCUGGAUUAUUUGAGUGACAAGAUAGCAAAGAUCAUUGGGGCAAUUCCUUAAGUUUUAAAAAAAGUUCCAGACCUCUAUCGGUUGAUUGGUCUUGCUCUACAAAAUAUUCACCGCAAGUGAGCCUGAGUAGGUUUAUCUGGUUUUUCUGAGUCCAACUUGAAGCUAAACAAUGAACCAUAUGCUGUUUUUUGGGUUUUGGUUGUCCACCUUGUCUAUAGGAUAAUAAAUAACAUAUUAUCCAAUAUUAAAUCACCUUUGUAAUUUCGGUGGUAUUUCCAGAAUUAUAUAAAUUUGAUUCAUUAUCAUGUUGUUUAUCUUUUGUGUUGCAAUAUUGUGCUUACAGGCUUUUUCCUUUUGCUUUUAGUCAUGAUGAAUAGAUUCUGGAUUAUUUGUAACUUUGUAUUUUUAUAUCUCAUGAAUUGAAUGUGCUUUGCAAAUAUAG